AUUACAAACUUCCCUAAAACAGGGCUGCCUUCAGAUGUCUUCUGAAAGUCAGAUAGUUGUUUACUUCCUUGACAUCUGAUGGGAGGGCAUUCCACAAGGCGGGUGCCAUUACCAAGAAGGCCAGUAAACCAAUAAUGACAGAUAUGCUCAGUAUUAGACACAGAUCUGAAAACUAUUUGCACCAGUAAGAUGCCUAUGGGAACCCUAGAAGCAGGAUGAGGGCUGCUUUUGUUCUCCAGCUAGCCCUACCUCCAUGAAUGGGUCUAAUUCUGCUUCAGCGCCAUCUAGGUUGGUGGCUACUCCCUUGUUCUGGAUGUUGGUCUUGAUUGGAAGGAGCCCAGAGCAGUGGCUCAUGUAAAGACCAGCAGGCAUUCACCUCUGUAUCGGGGCAAGUAGGUGCUCCAGUCACAUCCAAAGAAGAGCUUUUUGCCCCACCAAUAGAUGCUUAUUGCAAAGAGACAAGACCAGGUGGUGUUUCAUUCAGAAGUGUGGGUAGGUACUGUCCUUCUCAGGAUAGCUUUCACAUUGCAGUGUGCCUGCUCUCUUCUUGCUCCACUUUUGAAAUCCAGACUUAGGCAUGCAGCUGUUCUAUCCAGAGUCAGGCCACUGGCCCAUUUACAAGGAUUGUUGACAACAGCGGGCAGGGCUGUCCAAGUAGAGAUCCUUCUCACAUCCACUACAGGAGGAGCUUUUAACGGGAGAUUCCUGUGACUGAAACUGGAGUAUCCUGCAUGCAAAGCAAGCUAUGGCUUCUCAUCUGCACCAGGAAAAGGCAUAUCCUUCAUUUCCUUUUCUUUGUGGUUUUCUUUCUUUGCAGUAUAUAUAUAUCGUUCAUAAACAGUGAUUCAUGCACAGUGAUUUUAUUUAAAGGGCAGAUUCCUUCUAGUUUUGCACUGUAACUCAGCUAGAGCCAUGGCAGGCUGUAGACCAUGAAGGAAAUCUCAGUUUGUUGCCUGUACGCCCUGUGCUUGUUUUAUCUGUGUCCUUUCAAAAAAAUAUGGGUUAGAUAUGUGACCGGACCAAUGUCCCACAGCUCAUUUGGUGGACAUAAAGUAUUGUAAACUCAUGUGUGGAAGUGGUAGGGGCUGUGAAGUCCAGUCCAAAGCAUGUUUAUUUGACACGAGUUGCAGUGAGUUUAUAUUUGUUACGGUAAGUUUAUACUCUGCCUUCCCUUAUAAAAUGCCCAAGGCAUGGCUUACUUCAAGCAAGUGUGCAUAAUACUUUGCUUUCCAAUUGUGUUUACUUUUGCACCAAGUGUGGUUUAAAACAUGUUUUGGAAUAGAGGCAAGAAAGAUGGAAUGGUGGACUAGGCACAAGACAUUUAAUUCAUGGCAUUUCCCUUAAAUGUCUCCUUUUCCUCUCGGCUCUCCCCAAAACUCCUGGAUCUCCUCUGAUGCUGCUUCCUUGAAGUCUAACCAGAGACUGUGGUGGGUAGGCCUUAUGUGUUCCAGGGGCAGACCAGACCUGGGAAGUCUUCACUCCAGAACCAUCUUUCCCAUAGGGCUUAGUGGUGCGUCGCGCCAGGGUGCCAGCCUCUCAGGGGCUCGCGGCUUUGCCGGCGGCCUCCCCUUUCCCUAUAUGGUUGGAGGGGCACAGCUUCCCUCCCAAGCCUCUGCUGGGAUUGCUUUCCCGCAGCGGCAUGGGGGAGAGUUGCGCCCCCUCCCCGAUGGCUGGCAGUGCGCAGCUUCACGCCCCCCCUCUAUCCAUGGUAAUUUGGGGGCGCUGUGCGGAUAUUUUCACCCCAGCGCCACAUCUGCUAAAGACAGCCCUGCUUCACUCCAAUCCACCUCGAGAGCCCUGCCCCUAGGAGUUUUGUGAUGGCACGGAUUGGCUCCCACUUCCCUAGGCAACCUUGCUACCCCUGUGUGGCAGCAAAGCACCCAGAGUCACACUGAAGGGAAGCAGCAUGUUCUCUGCCAGCUGUUCUGACUCGCAAAUACUGUUUCCAGUAAGUCGAAAAUGAGGCAUUAUUGUAAAAAUGUGUUAAAGUUUGCAAAAGGCCAAAAAAAUGUAGGGGUUUUUUUUCUGGAGCUGUGCCAAAGAAUUGAGAGUUUCCAUAUUUUAAUUACUUGUUUGUUUGUUCUUUUUCACAUCAAUACCACGGCAAAAAAUCACCCUGCUGUGAAAACAGCGUAUUCAGAAUUGAGACUCGUAGAAAACAUAUGUACUGGCAGAAUCAUCUGCUACCUCGGCACUGUCCUAGUAUUCUGUAGAUCUUUUUUGGACAGAAAACUUUGAACUCAUACUUAUUCUUUUUUUCAAAACGCAAUAACAACGCAAUUUAACCGACAUUGUAUGAGAAGGAAAUUGAUUUUCACACACAGUGGUUAAAAAGAGAAGAAGUACGCAACAGUAACUUGACCAGUGUAUGCUACAAUUUCUGUGCCAGCCCUUGGCACCAAUGGGAGAUUUCCCCUGUAAAUCAAGUAUCAGUUUCAGAAAAGGAAUUUUCCUCAGAGCCGCAGCAGGAGAGAAAAGGAUUUAAUUCCCCUUCGAUGCUUGCUCUGAUCCUACUAAUGAUCAGGCUGAUGCAAUAGGCUUUUCUUUUAAAGCUGCCCAUUAGGUGCCAAGAGAACGUUGCAUUUAGUUUAGCCUGUAGCAGAAAGGGAAAACAUAUACAAAUAUAAUUUAGUUCACAUGGCAGGUAUAUUUUUUAAUGUUCCAGGAGGGUCCAAUGCAGACAUGAUGACUCUAGCAAAUGAUUUAAGAAACUUCUAAGUACUAUGUUGUUGUUUCGUCAACGUCCCCCCCAUGCCUUUCACAUCUGCACAUUGAAUUAUCAAAGUGCUGGAAGGAACAUCUGGUUAUUAAGAUGAAGGAUUAUUAUAAUAACUGUCUGCAGUCACUGAUGGCGACCUUAUAGCUUGUCUUGCCAGCAGUUUGUUCAGAUGGGCUGCAUUAGUUUCUCAAUGUUAAUUCCAUCUUUGACCUGGCCAGAUGAGAAAUUUCCCAUCUCAUCAGUUGGUUAUUUUGGCCUCAACAAAUGGGAGGCUGCGCCCAGUCAGCCAAACUCACAUGCAGCCCACGCUUUCAUGUAAAUCAAUCUUCAUUAAUAACUUGAAUGCAACUUGAGAAGCAAAUAACAUAAGAAAAUGCAGUUGAUCGACUACCUAGCUAUAGAAGAAAAAACAAUGGAUGGUUGAAUCUGACUGAGCUAAAUGAGACUGUUAUGGAUGAGAUGAAAAGCCUCUCCAGGAUGCAACUCAAGACUGGCAGGGAGAACUUGUUUAAGCAGGAGUAGAUAGUCUGCAUAGGAGCAACCAAUCAUUGUAUCAUGAAAACAGAUACUAAAGCUUGAUCAGUUGCUAACAGAUAAGUGUGAAAAUUAAUGCAGUUCUAAAUAUGGAGGCUAAUGGGCAGCCUAGCAAAUAACACAGUUCUCUGUUUGGGCAGAACUUUUUGUAGGUGUAGAAUGUGUAGAUCUGUUUAUAGGAGGAGGGAUCAGAACAUGCCAUGGACAAGAUGCCUGGGCCCAUACACUUAACAAAUAAGUUUUCAUUUGCAAAGUCUUUCUAGGGUUGGUUCCCAGUUUCAUAUCCUGAUCUGUAUGGAACCCACAAGCCACAGUUUGUUCAAACAUCAUAGGAAACUGUGGCUCAAGAAACCAAAAUUACUUUGCUGAAGCCACAUGCAUGAUGGCAGGAAAGAUAAGAAGGGAGCAUAUGGGCACACAGCUCAUUCUUUGAGCCAAGAUUAAACAUAAUUUAUAGGACUGGGAUCAUUGUAUUUGAACCAACCAAUACCAGAAUAAGUUUUUUGGAGGGGCGGGGUCAGGGCUUUUCAACUUCAACACGACUUCUUUGACAUUUUCUACUUUGUCUCUGUUGAUGUAAAUUUUAAACGGCCAGUUCAAAUCGUUGCUACUCUGCCAUGGUUGGAUUCCAUGUUGUAUCUGUAAUUUCAGAGGCUCACAUAGGUUAUUGGGAUCACAUGGAUACUUUCCCUUCAAACGACCCCUUUAUAUCAGAGCACUAACAGUGCAAUGGGGAGUACCAUUAUGAUCAGAGUGACCCCACUGGUGGGGACCUUCAGGUGUUGCCAGUGUAAUGUGGGAGCCAAUCAUCAUGCCAUGACAGCUGUACUAGAAAGGUAAUGUUUGAAGCAGGCUGAAAUUUUAUUCAGAUGUAGCUAUUAAUAGUGGGUGGUGAAUGUCUUUUCUUGGCUGUUUAUUUAUCUCAUCAUUUGUAUUUUGAUAGUAGGAAAUGUGUACCAAGGAUGUAAUAAAUGCCGAAGAGAUGCUGGAUUUAUUUCUGAUGAGAUGCUUAACACCAAAGGAAAGAAAAUGCCACGGGAACAAAUAUAGUUUGCAUGUAAAAUUUAACAACGCAGUUCAGACAAAAUGUUAAGAGCUGUAAAUUAGUAAACCUUUAGGGGACGAUCCACCAGAAAGGUAUUCUGCGGAGCCCCAUUGAAAUGUAAGGACAGUGUGCUCUGCACUCCCAGUGGAUUGUGGCCUGAAAUGUAUCUAUCACAUGUAUAAGUAACAGAAAUACACUGUCCUUUUCACUGACUGUUCCACCAAUUAGUUCAAUGACUUUUGAUGACUGCUGCCUUGUGAAAAUCAAAAGAGAAAGAUUCCAUCUGUGGACCUUAAUGUCUCCAUUCCCAUUACUCAAACAUAAUAAUUUGACUUUGUUGGUCAUAAUACAUUGAAUGUGUCAAAUCAUCAGGAAAUUUAAUUUAAUUUAAUUUAAUUUCCCCACCUUCAUUUUAAGGCAUAUGGUUUGAUCACAUGUUGACAUUCUGUAUGUUGCGAAUGUGGCUAAGAACUAAAAAGAAUAAGAAUGUGAAUAGGUAUUAUUGAUAUAGUACUUGAAUCACAUUAGCUCAGGGUGCAAUCCUAUCUCUACUUACCUUAGAGUAAGCCCCACUG